UCUCCGAUAGCGCAGCUGUAGAGCUCUCGACUGUUAAUCGAGCGCCGUUGGUUCGAAUCCAACUCGGGAGCCA
rnacentral:tRNA from 1 species